rnacentral:rRNA from 1 species
GACGAACGCUGGCGGCGUGCCUAAUACAUGCAAGUCGAGCGGACGGAUGGGAGCUUGCUCCCAGACCGUCAGCGGCGGACGGGUGAGUAACACGUGGGCAACCUGCCUGUAAGACUGGGAUAACUCCGGGAAACCGGGGCUAAUACCGGAUAACUCUUUCCCUCACAUGAGGGAAAGCUGAAAGAUGGCAUCUCGCUAUCACUUACAGAUGGGCCCGCGGCGCAUUAGCUAGUUGGUGAGGUAACGGCUCACCAAGGCGACGAUGCGUAGCCGACCUGAGAGGGUGAUCGGCCACACUGGGACUGAGACACGGCCCAGACUCCUACGGGAGGCAGCAGUAGGGAAUCUUCCGCAAUGGACGAAGGUCUGACGGAGCAACGCCGCGUGAGUGAUGAAGGUUUUCGGAUCGUAAAACUCUGUUGUCAGGGAAGAACAAGUACCGGAGUAACUGCCGGUACCUUGACGGUACCUGACCAGAAAGCCACGGCUAACUACGUG